UCAAACUCCCUUAGAUUUGAUCCUGGCUCAGGACGAACGCUGGCGGCGUGCUUAACACAUGCAAGUCGAACGAUGAUCCGGUGCUUGCACCGGGGAUUAGUGGCGAACGGGUGAGUAACACGUGAGUAACCUGCCCUUGACUCUGGGAUAAGCCUGGGAAACCGGGUCUAAUACCGGAUAUGACUUCCUGCCGCAUGGUGGGGGGUGGAAAGAUUUUUUGGUUUUGGAUGGACUCGCGGCCUAUCAGCUUGUUGGUGGGGUAAUGGCCUACCAAGGCGACGACGGGUAGCCGGCCUGAGAGGGUGACCGGCCACACUGGGACUGAGACACGGCCCAGACUCCUACGGGAGGCAGCAGUGGGGAAUAUUGCACAAUGGGCGCAAGCCUGAUGCAGCGACGCCGCGUGAGGGAUGACGGCCUUCGGGUUGUAAACCUCUUUCAGCAGGGAAGAAGCGGAAGUGACGGUACCUGCAGAAGAAGCGCCGGCUAACUACGUGCCAGCAGCCGCGGUAAUACGUAGGGCGCAAGCGUUGUCCGGAAUUAUUGGGCGUAAAGAGCUCGUAGGCGGUUUGUCGCGUCUGCUGUGAAAGCCCGGGGCUCAACCCCGGGUCUGCAGUGGGUACGGGCAGACUGGAGUGCAGUAGGGGAGACUGGAAUUCCUGGUGUAGCGGUGAAAUGCGCAGAUAUCAGGAGGAACACCGAUGGCGAAGGCAGGUCUCUGGGCUGUAACUGACGCUGAGGAGCGAAAGCAUGGGGAGCGAACAGGAUUAGAUACCCUGGUAGUCCAUGCCGUAAACGUUGGGCACUAGGUGUGGGGGACAUUCCACGUUUUCCGCGCCCGUAGCUAACGCCC
rnacentral:rRNA from 1 species